GACGUAGGGUGCAAGCGUUGUCCGGAUUUAUUGGGCGUAAAGAGCUCGUAGGCGGCUCGUCGCGUCGACCGUGAAAACUCUAGGCUUAACCUGGGGCUUGCGGUCGAUACGGGCAGGCUAGAGUUCGGUAGGGGAGACUGGAAUUCCUGGUGUAGCGGUGAAAUGCGCAGAUAUCAGGAGGAACACCGGUGGCGAAGGCGGGUCUCUGGGCCGAUACUGACGCUGAGGAGCGAAAGCGUGGGGAGCGAACAGG
rnacentral:rRNA from 1 species